GAUACGUCUCCAACGUAUCUAUAAUUUUUGAUUGUUCCAUGCUAUUAUAUUACCCUUUUUGGAUGUUUAUGGGCUUUAUUUUACACUUUUAUAUCAUUUUUGGGACUAACCUACUAACCGGUGGCCCAGCCCAUAUUGUUGUUUUAUUGCCUGUUUCAGUAUUUCGAAGAAAAGGAAUAUCAAACGGAGUCCAAACGGAAUGAAACCUUCGGCAUCAUGAUGUUUUCAAAGAAUAUCAUCCAGGAGGCUUGGAGAUCAAGUCAGAAGACCCUCGAGGAGCCCAGGAGAUAGGGGGCGCCCCCCCCCCUACAGGGCGCGACCCCCUGUCUCGUGGACCCCUCGAGCACCUCCCGACCGACUUCUUUCGCCUAUAUAUGCCUACGUACCCUAAAACCAUUAGAAAUCAAGAUAGAUCGGGAGUUUCGCCACCGCAAGCCUCUGUAGCCACCAAAAACCUCUCGGGAGUCUGUUCCGGCACCCUGCCGGAGGGGGAACCCAUCACCGGUGGCCAUCUUCAUCAUCCUGGUGCUCUCCAUGGCGAGGAGGGAGUAGUUCACCCUCGGGGCUGAGGGUAUGUACCAGUAGCUAUGUGUUUGAUCCAUCUCUCUCUCGUGUUCUCUCUAUGGCACGAUCUUGAUGUAUCGCGAGCUUUGUUAUUAUAGUUGGAUCUUAUGAUGUUUCUCCCCCUCUACUCUCUUGUGAUGAAUUGAGUUUCCCUCUUGAAGUUAUCUUAUUAGAUUGAGUCUUUGAUUUGAGAACACUUGAUGUAUGUCUUGCCGUGUUUAUCUGUGGUGACAAUGGGAUAUCACGUGCCUCUCGAUGUAUGUUUUGGUGACCAACUUGCGGGGUCCGCCCAUGAACCUAUGCAUAGGGGUUCGCACACGUUUUCUUGACUCUCCGAUAGAAACUUGGGGGCACUCUUUGAAGUACUUUGUGUUGGUUGGAUGAAUCUUAGAUUGUGGGAUGCAUAUCGUAUAAUCAUGCCCAUGAAUACUUGAGGUGACAAUGGAGUAUCUAGGUGACAUUUGGGUUUUGGUUUAUUUGUGUCUUAAGGUGUUAUUCUAGUAUGAACUCUCUUAUAGAUUGAUCCGAAAGAAUAACUUUGAGGUGGUCUCGUACCCUACCAUAAUCUCUACGUUUGUUCUUCGCUAUUAGUGGCUUUGGAGUGACUCUUUGUUGCAUGUUGAGGGAUUGUUAUAUGAUCUAUCUAUGUUAUUAUUGUUGAGAGAACUUGCACUAGUGAAAGUAUGAGCCCUAGGGCUUGUUUCCUAUCAUUGCAAUACCGUUUACGCUCACUUUUAUCAUUAGUUACCUUGCUGUUUUUAUAUUUUCAGAUUACAAAAACCUAUAUCUACCAUCCAUAUUGCACUUGUAUCACCAUCUCUUCGCCGAACUAGUGCACCUAUACAAUUUACCAUUGUAUUGGGUGUGUUGGGGACACAAGAGACUCUUUGUUAUUUGGUUGCAGGGUUGUUUGAGAGAGAACAUCUUCAUCCUACGCCUCCUACGGAUUGAUAAACCUUAGGUCAUCCACUUGAGGGAAAUUUCCUACUGUCCUACAAACUUGUGCACUUGCAGGCCCAACAACGUCUACAAGAAGAAGGUUGUGUAGUAGACAUCAAGCUCUUUUCUGGCGCCGUUGCUGGGGAGGUGAGUGCUUGAAGGUAUAUCUUUAGAUCUUGCAAUCGAAUCUUUUUGUUUCUUGGUUUAUCACUAGUUUAGUUUAUAAAAGAAAACCACAAAAAAAUAUGGAGUUAAGUUUGUCUCGUACGCUUCAUCUUUUUAAUAUCUUUCAUGAGUUUUAUGGAAAGGAAAAUUGUGCUCAAGUGCUAGAAGAGGAAUGCAUUAAAAUGCUUGGUACUAAAUCUUUGAAUGAUGAGCAUGAUUGCAAUGUUGUUAGUAUAAACUCCUUGAAUAUCCUUAGUACUAAUGAUGAUUGCUCUAGUCAUGAUAAAAAUAUAUCUUAUGAGCAUGUCAACUUUUGUGGACUGCAUGUUUGCAUGAACACACCAAAUAGAGAAGAUAUAUAUUGCAAGAGGCAUAAGUAUUUAGAAACUAAGAAGUUGCAAGAAAGGCUAGAUAAGAGUGUGAAGAAUUUAAUAUAUCUUUCUCAUUGUGAAUUUUGCAAUAACCAAGAUCAUUUACAUCUCCAAUGCAAAUUGUUUCAUGAUCGGAUCGUGUCCAAAAAUUGUGAUAAUUUGAUCUCCCUUUCUCAUUACAAUGAACUUAGAUUGUUUUUGGGUUGUGAAGAGUUGAAACGUUUAAUUAAACCUAUUACAGAAUUUAAUCUUAAGCAUUUUCUUGUUAUCGAUUUAGAAAAGAUUUAUAUGUUUUGUUCGGAGAAUUACAUUGAAAAUCCUUAUAUUGCCAAUUACCUAAAGAAAAGAAAGCAAAUGAAAGAUGAUAAGAAUACUAAUGAAAGGGAAGAGACUUCCCAAUCUCCUCCUAUUAUUUCUUAUGAUGAAUCAGGUAACGAGGAGGAGCUUUCUAUUCAACCAAUCUCAUUAAUAAGGAGCUCAAAGAGGAAGGUUGAACCUACACAUAAUGUGAAGAAGAAAAAGAAAAGAAGGAGCAACAAAGGUAGAAAGGUAUCCCUCCCAAAUGAUGUUGCUCCUACUACUCAUUGUGAUGAUGAUAAUUGCUUUAAUAUUGGUGCUAUCUAUAUUUUUAAUGAUGAUAGUAAUUAUGCUUAUUGAACAUAUAAACCUUUCUAGACUCCUAGGCAGAACCGUUGCCUCCACGUUGCUCUAUAAACGCUGCUACCACCGCCUGUAAUUUUCGUGCCCCGCCAAGGGCAUCUUAGUAAUUUCACGUACAUAUAUAUAAAAGCCAGCCGCCUGUGGAGAAGACCUAGCCGCCUGCCGCUCUCCUCUUUCCGCCGCCUCCCACAUCUCCCCCACUCCCUCAAGCGUCGCACCCCCUCCUCCCCUCCCGCAUCUCGUCCACCCUGGGAUCCGAGCGCAGUCGACCUUCCCCGGUGGCGGCGCUCCAUUCAAUCUGCAAGAGAGAGAGAGACCGAGAGAGAGGAUGGGAGGGAGAAGGAAGGAGAGGGAGAAAGAGAGAGGAGAGAGGAGAGGGAGACAUGGCGUCGGAUGGGAGAGGGUCACCACCGGCGUCCGCCUGCACCGGCGAGGUCGGGUCCUCAAGCCAUGGAGGUACUCGUCGUUGGGCCCUCACCGUUGGCCUCCCGUGCGUCGCACCGCCCCUCCUGCUGCCUUGGCUCUCUCCUCCUGCCUCGGUAGAUUGGAUCGAGGGUGCUACGCCGCCGUCGCCGACUGGAUUUGCUCCUCCAUCGCCGCCGUGAGUCAACUCCACCGUUGUCGCCAGGAAUCCGUCCCCCUGCUGCUGCAGCGAGUUAACUCCACCGUUGUCGCCAGGAAUCCGUCCCCCCUGCUGCAGACUGCUCGUCUUCCGGUUGCUGCAGUCGGAAUCGCGGCCCUGCAGAGGGCAUUGAAUAGGUGAGCUCCCAUCCUCUCAUUUUUCUCUUCCCCCGGUCCUCUUCUCUUCCUCAACGCUGCUCCUCCAAUCUCUCACAUCCUGGCAGGAUGGAGACGUGACUUGAGAUCCUCCAUCUAAUUCGUGUCCACCUAAAUUUAAUUUUCUUAUGCACCUAGGGUUUGGGUGGGGUUGACUCCUAUAACGAUGGCUGGCUACAUCAACCAGCAGCUGCACCUCCUUCGACUUCCGCAAUAUCGCCCACCGAGCUGCGUUGCUGUACGAAGACCUUCUGUAUUUCGGUGGUGCCAUGGUGUUCCUCUCCAGAUGAGCUGCCACCUUCUUCCCCCAUCAUUCCCCAUAGUUGCUCUGAUCUGUUCUACGAGGCAGAACCAAUCCUAAUUUAUGUUGGGUUUUUCAUGUGCCAAAGACCAAUAGUUUUUUGCCCUUUGCAUGGGGUAUUCCUUUCUUUGAGAAACAUUUUUGACUAAAGCUUCUUCGAUGCCCCAUGGACGCUCAGGUUUGCUUUCAUAGAUGCAGCGAAUAUCUAAAAUGUAUUGCAGUUCAUGAGUUAUUUAGCAAUGAUAAAAUGUUCUCUAUCGUUAUUUGCUUUUAGUAUGUAACAAGCUCCCCGGGUAGUGGUGGAUCUUUAUAUUAGCACAUGACUGAGCAGUUCGACAACAUUUAUAAUUUAUCAUUGUCAAGUCAGCCUUUGUGUGAUUCAAAAAGAACACACAGACUGCUGCACGGUACUAAAUUAUUUUUUAGCUGGGGUUGUUCAAUAGGAUUUAGAUUUUAAGCAGAAUAGGAUACAGAUCAGCGGUCCAUGUUUACAUACACUGGCAUAAGAAUUUGUUGUGCGGCAAGGAUUUGUACAGAUUUAAAGGGGAAUUAGUAGCUAACAUCUUCGCAACGUCACAUUGUUCCAUGAUUCUUCUUGUAUAUAAGAUACUAAGAUCUCUUGAUGAUGCUUUGUUUGAUGUUCUAUGUGGAAGUUAUUUGCAUUGCACUUCAGUUCAGAACAUGGAGGCUAAGAGGCUCACCAAUUGGUGCCUAUUUCUUGUGUUUAUGCAAAUGGUACCCUGUAAUGAAUACCUUGAGCUAUACGAUUCCUCUGGCAGACUUCAUAUAGCUAUUGUCUAAUACGCAUUAGUAUGUAUUAUUUAUCAGUCCGGUUGCAAACUUCUCGUGCGAUAGCCUUCUUUUUAUCAGUUCAGUUCAACUAAUUUUUAGAAAAGAACAUCCUUACCAAGCCUGCAUAUUUUAAGUUCGUGAGGCUUCAGUUUACUCUGUUUGCCUCACUACAGGAGAACAUUCAAGUACUUAUUGAACGAUUUCACCUCUGCUAUUCCCAAGAUAUGCUCUGCCAUUUUGUAGUGGGACUGUACUAAUUAUUCUGGCUGUUAUCCAUGUUACUGUCAUUUAUCAUGAUAAAAGUCGACUCAGCUGUGCCAGGUUAACUUAGUUCAAUUUUGAUAUGCCUAGAGUUCAGAUGUUGGGCUAUAAUUUUGAUAUGCUUUUGGUUAUGUAAUUGCAGAAAAAACAAAUUACAACCAUAUUUUGUAGCGAUCAUAUUAUUGUGAUGCUGGUUCUCAAAUUUAUGCGGGUACUUCUCGUGUUUUGUUAAUAGCUCACCAGUUUCAUUCCCUUUUGGUUUUUGAAUAUACAUCCUUGCCCCUCUUUUAUAUCUUCUUGGUUAUUUCUUAUCUUUUUAGUUCUCAUUUGUACAUAAGUAAUACUAGCAUCAGUCUGUGUGUUCUUACAUAACAGUUAGUCUCUAAGCUACCGAUUCAGUACCAAGCUUACGUUGUAUUAUCUUUUAGGCUGAAAGAAAAAGGCAAAAACAAUGAACAAUGUAAAAGCCCUCAACACUAAAGUACAGUCUGAGAAGAAAAGUACAAGGAAGAAAAUGAAAAGGCAGCAAAAAUCUGAUAAUAUGCAAAAUCCCAUUUAGAGUAUGAACCAUAGUGAAAAAAGGUUCAGUUUAGUUAUUAAAAGUUCUUUAGAUGCAGAUCACUUUCUACAUGUUUCUGCAAUUCUCUCCUAUUAUAUGGUUUGGUGUUUGUCCCGGUGUGCCGUGUUUGGUAUCCCAUUUCAUCAUCUUUAAGUCGAAUGGACACUAUUUUGUUUAUUAAUCACUUUUGAACUAAUACUCUUUCAACACUUAUUUUAUACAUAAAAAAACUUAACUGACAUUUAAGAAAGUUGACAUUGCAUCUCUGGUUCGUUCAAUGAAAUUUUCUGCUCUUCUAUUUAACUGUCUAUGGUUGAUUGUGAUAGUGAAGUCGAUAUUUUGAUUUCUAAUAGAAUAUACAUCUUAGUUUUCCUCUAUCUAUGUAGAGGGCUCAAGAAAGAGACAAGAACUUGUGCUUCAAGCAGCGAAGAUAGCCAGCCUAAAUGAAUCGAAACAAGAACAAGAAUCGGGAAAUUACAGAUCAGGAAGUGCAGCUGGUACGGUCACUCCCUUUUUGCCAAAACUGCUUGGCAAUCAUCUUCUUGCCAAUUUAUAAUUGAAUUCCUACUAUGAUUCGCUUCCUAAAAGAAAUAGCAAUCAUCUUGAAACAAGUAAUUUAUCUAGCUACAAAUGCUUAUUCUAUACUGGUUAUGUUGCCUCCAAUUGCGGACAAUGGUUUAUAGUUGACACUUUAGUCUACAUGUCUGCUAAUAUUUACAUGUCUGCAUGACCAAAAAAAUUAGAUAGUCUACUUAAACUUUAGUGAUGGGCAGUUAUUCUACUUCUUUUGGCUAGAUGUUCAGCAAGGGUCGCACAUCUGAAACAAGUAACUGGCUUGCUUUUGGUACACGUUCUCUGUAUAUAACUCGCUUUUCUAUUUCUUGAGGACAACACCAUAUAGAGCCUUUAAAGGCUGGUCCUAGUUUUAGAUACAAAGCGCCUGAUUGUUCUCUGUAAAUUUAUUCUGCUCCUUACAUGAGGGUCUGUGCUACUUUCAACUCGAAUGCAGAUUUUACUAUACGAUGUAAAUCAAAUCGUUCGUUUCUACUGCAUGUUAAAGGAGCUGGCCAAUAUUAGCAUGAAGCUAUAAAAGCUAGCUGGCUAUGGAGAAUUUUGCCACUAGUGAUGAAUUGCCACCUUUUCCUUGCUUGCCAUCAUGCCAUGAUUCGAAAUUUAGUUGUCAGGCUAGGUAAAGCACGCUGAGACUACCAAAAAAGAUUACAUGUGCUGCCAUCAUGCAUUUGCACCUCUAAACUUAGUUUGUUGACUAAAUUGUGUAGUUCCCUUUUGUCGAAGAAUGUUCUGGACUAGAUAGCCAGCUUGCUAUUGCUGUUUGUAACUUUUCAGUCGGGCUCUUUUGUUAAUGCGAAAACCACAUACAUGUAAUGUGCGCAGUGGUCUGUAGGACUUCAUAGGUGUUGUACUAAAAUUCAGUUUUAAUGGAGUUCAGUUCAGUGAUGUUCUAGACUAGAUAUCAUUCAAAAAAUGGCCACACGUGGAUGUAGGGUCAUAAAAGAGUCAGGGAAGAGGGAGGUACCUUGGUAGAUUGCCCAGGGGCAUUGGCAAUGUAAGCAACAGGGAACCCCUCUGCCUGCCUUGCUCAUUCACACUUCUUUUUUGUUUGGGGAGGGGCGGGUUGCAAUCCGGGCCGGGCGGGACACUGGAAACUGUGAGCAAAAAGUUAAUCCGACCUGAGCUCCAUAUGAAAUUAGAUGAUUUUUUCCAAAACUAUUGUAUGAAGCGAAAACAAGUAUGUACAUGAGUCAACCAGACAAUGGACAAAAAUCCCACCUGAACCAAAAUAAAAAACAGAUGUCUGUUGAUUAGACACUCCCAUAAUACAUGCCAGGAAUGUGUUUUCAUAUUGUUCAUUUUGUGGAUAUUUGAUAUAAGCGUAAUUGUAUCCCGAUAUUUGGCUUGGUAGUCCAUUGUGUAACUAAUAUGACUGAGUUUCAGAGAAGGUCAGACUAUGCCUUGUCUACACGUAUCUAAUAUAUUUAUCUUGAUAUUGCAGAAGAUUUUGUUUUAUUCUUAUAUCUAAUGCUUGAUCUGUUGUAUAGGCUGAUAUAGGUCUUGCAAUGUGCAUGUCAGGGACAGAAGUUGCUAAAGAAAGCUCCGGCAUUAUAAUCUUAGAUGAUGACUUCACAUCUAUUUUGAAGGUUAGAGUCUUCUACGUUUUUUGGGAAUAGAUCUUUGUUAUGAAGGAUAACGUUCUCACCAAUCAUGAUGGGAGUUUUUUAUCGGAUGUACAGGGUCAUUGGAAUGGACCAAGUUAUGAAUGUUCCUGAAAUGUGAUACUAGAAUCUUUGUACGUCAGCACUCUUUGAUGCUUAUCUUGAUGAUUUUUCCUCUGUUCUACAUACAUUUGUGUUGUUAACUCACUUUCAUGUUCUUGAUUGGCAUGUAAUCAUCUUAGAAAAAGUUAUUUGAGCUGAGGGCGUUGAAUAUAGUAAUAAAAGCUACUUCCUUGGAGAGUUUUUUUGUGCAGAGUGGUGCAUGCAUAAUAUUAUCCUCAUUAUGUUCUCUUUGCAUGUUCUAUUGUAGGAAGCGGAUGUUAUCAAGAUCAUGCCAAAGGCAGAGUGUGCCAAAGGCGAUGCGCAUUCCCGUUCUUAGUGAGAUGCAUUUACUCGAUGCAAAGUAUGAGCAUUGCAGACUCUGGCGAGCUGCUGAAGGUCGACGAGGAGGGCGCCGCCACCACCGUCAUCAGGCUGGUCCGCAUCCACGCGCUGCUCGGUGUCACCAGGUCACCGGCACAACUCUUCAUGCCCAGGUCGUUCAACAUUUUCUUCUGCUUUUGGUGCAGUCACAUUUAGAGUGUUUGUUUCCCAUUUUACUGUGUUUUCAUGGUAAGAUGUUAGGUUGGAUUUGAAGGUUCAUAGACUUGGCUCCAAAGCAUCAAUCUCUUGUAGAAAUUAGAACUGAGGGCCUUUUAAAAUGAGUCCUGCAUAAUAGUGUUGUUCAGUGGGAUGCAGAAUUUUUGUUUGUACUGAUUUACGUACUGAUUUCAUCAUCAUAUGACUACAAUGAAGAAGCUGUGUGUAUAAAUAUUACUAACUGAUGAUACUUUGCAUCAGUGAUUUCAAUUUUGUUGGCCCUCCUUCACAUUGCAUGGGAAUGUGAGGCUUAAAAGUUUCAACCCUGUGCAAUGUGCUUAUCGGGUGUGGAUUUGUGUCUGACUAAUUAACGGUUCUGUUAAUACUGAUAUGUCCUUGUACAUUAUAUGGGUAUUGCAUCGCUUGUACUUAUAGUAAGUGGAAAUUUUUCUCAUAUGUUUCAAUAUGUGCCCGAAUAAUAUUAAUGUACACUCUUUCAAUACAUGGCUUACUCUUGGCCUUUGCGCCAUUGGUGCAAUUGAUCAUCUAGUGAUAUGAAAGAGCCCAAGCUUGGGGAAGCUAUGUUUGAUGAGGAUGAAAUAUUUGAGAAUAUAUUUGCUGAAAUUAAUGUUUGUCCCAAGCUUGGGGAUGCUAUGUUUAAUGAAGAUGAUAUUUUUAGCAUCCCAAGUUUUGAUAUGCAAAGUUGUUAUGAUGAUAGCAUGCCUCCUAUGUAUGAUGAUUAUAUUGAUGAAAGUGGGUUUGGAAGAGUGUCAACUUUAGGAAGUAGUGAUCCCACUGUUUUGGAGGAUGUUGAAUCUUAUUGUGAUGAAUAUUAAAGUGGAUUUGGAAGAGUGUCAACUUUAUUUAGUGAUUCCACUAUCUUGGAAGAGGUUUCAAUCGAUUAUGAUGAGAACGAAGUUGCUACUUAUGAUGAUUAUUGUGAUGAAACUUAUGCUAUAAAAAGUAGUGAUGAUUAUAUUUACAAAACUUGUCAUGAUUAUGAUUACCCUUUUUCUGAACAUUACUCUUUUAAUGUGGAAACAAUUUUUAGUGUUCAAGUCUCUUAUGAUACUCCCACUAUUCCGGAUGAGAAGAAUUUUGCUUAUGUGGAGAGUAGUAAAUUUUCUAUGAUUAUAGAUCAUGAAAAGAAUGCUUUAGGUUCUGGUUAUAUUGUUGAAUUCAUUCAUGAUGCUACUGAAAAUUAUUAUGAGGGAGGAAUAUAUACUUGUAGGAAUUGCAAUAAUGCCAAGUUUCCUCUCUAUGUGUUGAAAAUCUUGAAGCGCUUGUUUUACCUUCCUAUACUUGUUGAUUAUUGUUUCCAUAAGUUGUUUGCUCACAAAAUCCCUAUGCAUAGGAAGUGGGUUAGACUUAAAUGUGCUAGUCAUAUGCUUCAUGAUGCUUCCAUUAUGCUUCAAUUCUUAUCUUUUAUGUGAGCAUCAUUGUCAUCAUCAUGCCUAGCUAGAAAGGCAUUAAAGAAAAGCGCUUGUUGGGAGACAACCCAAUAUUUAUCCUUACUGUUUUUGUGUGUCCACAUGAUUAUGCUACUGUAUUAAUCAUGUUUUAUAGGUUUUGAUUCAAUAAAGUGCCAAGUAAGACCUUUAGGAUAGCUUACGGUGAUAGUUUUUGAUCCUGUUGAAAAUCAGAAACUUUUGCACCCGGUAAAUUGGUUUUGUUAAUUCACAGCAACGUGCUUUGGAUCUGAUUCUUUUUGCUAUGGUUUGGUACACAAAUUUAUCAGGUCUUCCUAAUUUUUUAGAAUUUUCAUAAUUUCAGAAGUAUACGUUUGAUACAUAUUACAACAGAUUGUUCUGUUUUUGACAGAUUCUGUUUUCUAUGUGUUGUUUGCUUAUUUUGAUGAAUCUAUGAGUAGUAUCGGAGGGUAUGGACCAUAGAUAAGUUGAAGUAAAGUAGAUAUUACACCAAUAUGAAUUUAUAAUGAGUUCAUUGCAGUACCUAAGUGGUGGUUUUAUUUUCUUAUACUAAUGGAGCUUACGUGUUUUCUGUUGAGUUUUGUGUUGUGGAGUUUUCAAGUUUUGGGUAAAGACUCGAUAGACUAUGGAAUAAGGAGUGGUAAGAGCCUAAGCUUGGCGAUGCCCAAGGCACCCCAAGGUAAUAUUCAAGGACAACCAAGAGCCUAAGCUUGGGGAUGCCCCGGAAGGCACCCCCUCUUUCGUCUUCGUUCAUCGGUAACUUUACUUGGAGCUAUAUUUUUAUUCACCACAUGAGUUGUGCUAUCCUUGCAAUGUCAUUUUAUUUUAUUUUGCUUGCUGUUUGAAUACAAUACCAAGAUUUGAAUUUCUUUAAUGAGAGAGAGUCUUCGCAUAGUUUCAUAAUUAUUUAGCUACUUAUUGAUCUUCACUUAUAUCUUUUUGGAGUAGUUUGUCAUUUGCUCUAGUGCAUCACUUAUAUCUUUUAGAGCAUGGCGGUGGUUAUAUUUUGUAGAAAUUGCUAGUCUCUCAUGCUUCACUUAUAUUAUUUUGAGAGUCUUUUAGAACAUCAUGGUAUUUUCUAUGGUUACAAAGUUGGUUCUAGAAUGAUGAGCAUCCAAGUUGGGUAUAAUAAAAACUAUCAUAGGAAGUGAAUUGGAUGCUAUGAUCAAUUUGAUACUUGAUAAUUGUUUUGAGAUAUGGAGGUAGUGAUAUUAAAGUCAUGCUAGUUGGGUGAUUAUGAAUUUAAAGAAUGCUUGUGUUGAAGUUAGCAAGUCCCGCACGUAUGGUUAAAGUUGUGUAACAAAUUUGAAACAUGAAGUGUACCUGGCUUGUGCAUCCUUACGAGUGGCGGUCGAGGACGAGCGAUGGUAUUUUCCUACCAAUCUAUCCCCCUAGGAUCAUGCGCGUAGUACUUGGUUUUUGAUGACUUCUAAAUUUUUGCAAUAAGUAUAUGAGUUCUUUUGACUACUGUUGAGUCCAUGGAUUAUACGCACUUUUACCUUUCCUCCUUUGCUAGCCUCUUCGGUACCGUACAUUGCCCUUUCUCACCUUGAGAGUUGGUGCAAACUUCGCCGGUGCAUCCAAACCCCGUGAUACGAUACGCUCUAUAACACAUAAACCUCCUUAUAUCUUCCUCAAAACAGCCCCCAUACCUACCUAUUAUGGCAUUUCCAUAGCCAUUCCGAGAUACAUUGCCAUGAAACUUUCCACUGUUCCGUUUAUCAUCAUCAUGACAUACUUUACUUUUGUCAUAUUGCCAUUGCAUGAUCAUGUAGUUGACAUCAUAUUUGUGGCAAAGCCACCAUGCAUUAUUUUUGAUACAUGUCACUCUUGAUUCAUUGCACCAUCCCGGUACACCGUCGGAGGCAUUCAUAUAGAGUCAUAUCCUGUUCUAGUUUCGAGUGGUAAUUCAUAUGUUGUAACCAAUAAAAGUGUGAUGAUCAUCAUUAUUAGAGCAUUUCUCAAAAAGGAAAAAAAGAAGAAAGACCAAAAGAAAAAAAAGGCCCAAAAAAGGGAAAAAGAAAAAAGAAAAGAAAGAAAGAAAGAAAAUAAUAAUAAUAAAAGGGCAAUGCUACUAUCUCUUUUCCACACUUGUGCUUCAAAAUAACACCUUGUUCUUCAUGUAGUGAGUCUCAUAUAUUGUGCUUCAAAGUAGCACCAUGUUUUUCAUAUAGUGAGUCUCAUAAGUUGUCUUUUUCAUACUAGUGGGAAUUUUUCAUUAUAGAACUUGGCUUGUAUAUUCCUACGAUGGGCUUCCCCAAAUGCCCUAGGUCUUCGUGAGCAAGCAAGUUGGAUGCACACCCACUAGUUUUCUUUUGUUGAGCAUUCAUUUAUAGCUCUAGUGCAUCCGUUGCAUGGCAAUCCCUACUCCUCAUGUUGACAUCAAUUGAUGGGCAUCUCCAUAGCCCGUUGAUUAUCCUUGUUAAUGUGAGACUUUCUCCUUUUUUGUUUUCUCCACACAAUCCCCAUCAUCAUAUUCUAUUCCACCCAUAGUGCUAUAUCCACGGCUCACGCUCAUGUAUUGCGUGAAGGUUGAAAAACUUUGAGAUUAUUUAAGUAUGAAACAAUUGCUUGGCUUGUCAUCGGGGGUAUAGAAGUUGGGAACAUCUUUGUGUGAUGAAAAUGAAGCAUAGCCUAAUUAUAUGAUUUUGUAGGGAUGAACUUUCUUUUGCCAUGUUAUUUUGAGAAGACAUGAUUACUUUGAUUAGUAUGCUUGAAGUGUUACUAUUUCUUUUAUCAAUACGAACUUUUAUUUUGAAUCAUUUUGAUCUGAACAUUCAUGCCACAAUAAGAAAAUUACAUUAUGAAUUAUGCUAGGUAGCAUUCCACAUCAAAAAUUCUGUUUUUAUCAUUUACCUACUCGAGGCGAGCAGGAAUUAAGCUUGGGGAUGCUUGAUACGUCUCCAACGUAACUAUAACUUUUGAUUGUUCCAUGCUAUUAUAUUACCCUUUUUGGAUGUUUAUGGGCUUUAUUUUGCACUUUUAUAUCAUUUUUGGGACUAACCUACUAACCGGAGGCCCAGCCCAUAUUGCUGUUUUAUUGCCUGUUUCAGUAUUUCGAAGAAAAGGAAUAUCAAACGGAGUCCAAACGGAACGAAACCUUCGGCAUCGUGAUUUUUUUGGAAGAAUAUCAUCCUGGAGGCUUGGAGAUCAAGUCAGAAUACCCUCGAGGAGCCCAGGAGAUAGGGGGCGCCCCCCUACAGGGCACGACCCCCUGUCUCGUGGACCCCUCGAGCACCUCCUCACCGACUUCUUUCGCCUAUAUAUGCCUACGUACCCUAAAACCAUCAGAAAUCAAGAUAGAUCGGGAGUUCCGCCGCCGCAAGCCUCUGUAGCAGCCAAAAACCUCUUAGGAGUCCGUUUAGGCACCCUGCCGGAGGGGGAACCCAUCACCGGUGGCCAUCUUCAUCAUCCCGGCGCUCUCCAUGGCAAUGAGGGAGUAGUUCACCCUCGGGGCUGAGGGUAUGUACCAGUAGCUAUGUGUUUGAUCUCUCUCUCUCUCUCUCUCGUGUUCUCUCUAUGGCACGAUCUUGAUGUAUCGCGAGCUUUGUUAUUACAGUUGGAUCUUAUGAUGUUUCUCCCCCUCUACUCUCUUGUGAUGAAUUGAGUUUCCCUCUUGAAGUUAUCUUAUCGAAUUGAGUCUUUGAUUUGAG
rnacentral:lncRNA from 1 species